rnacentral:rRNA from 1 species
AUUGAACGCUGGCGGCAGGCUUAACACAUGCAAGUCGAGCGGAGAUGAGGUGCUUGCACCUUAUCUUAGCGGCGGACGGGUGAGUAAUGCUUAGGAAUCUGCCUAUUAGUGGGGGACAACAUUCCGAAAGGAAUGCUAAUACCGCAUACGUCCUACGGGAGAGAGCAGGGGAUCUUCGGACCUUGCGCUAAUAGAUGAGCCUAAGUCGGAUUAGCUAGUUGGUGGGGUAAAGGCCUACCAAGGCGACGAUCUGUAGCGGGUCUGAGAGGAUGAUCCGCCACACUGGGACUGAGACACGGCCCAGACUCCUACGGGAGGCAGCAGUGGGGAAUAUUGGACAAUGGGGGGAACCCUGAUCCAGCCAUGCCGCGUGUGUGAAGAAGGCCUUAUGGUUGUAAAGCACUUUAAGCGAGGAGGAGGCUACUGAGACUAAUACUCUUGGAUAGUGGACGUUACUCGCAGAAUAAGCACCGGCUAACUCUGUGCCAGCAGCCGCGGUAAUACAGAGGGUGCGAGCGUUAAUCGGAUUUACUGGGCGUAAAGCGUGCGUAGGCGGCUUCUUAAGUCGGAUGUGAAAUCCCCGAGCUUAACUUGGGAAUUGCAUUCGAUACUGGGAAGCUAGAGUAUGGGAGA